ACGACUGAGCCACCCAGGUGACCUUUCUUUCUUUUUAAAACUUUCCCCUUUCCACUUGGUAGAUGCCAACAUCUGUGUUGACUCCAUUCAGUUGAAUUCAACAACCAAAUGCCUGUUUUCGGCAAGACUCUUUCCCAGGCACCAAGCUGGAUAAAUCCUGGAGGUUCCUCCAGCCGGUAGGACAGAAGGACCAAAUGAGAAUUGAAUGGUGUUUCUUACUGUCUUUUGGUUCAUGGAAAGUUUGAGAAUCUGGUGAAAGUUAUGAGUCCUCUCUCUCUCUCUCAAAAAAAAAAAAAAAAAAAAAGCACGUAUGUGCACACACACAUAGUUUUGCAAUGAUAUUAGAGUGUUUGGAGAUCUCCCCCCAACCCCCAACCAAGCUUGUCCAUAGAAUGACCUUAGGGUGAGUAUUCUGGGCAUGAAAUGAAAUAGUAAUGCCUUGAAGGAAGCACAAAGCCAUAGUCACUGACUAGAAAGAGAGAUUAGAGAUAAGAUCCAGGUGGGUCAGAGGGGCCAGUGGGGCUGGUGGGAUAGGUAUGUUUUGAUAGACAGGCCUGUCGAGUUAGAGGUCAGGUAUUGGUCUCUGGGAGGCAGCAUUCCAGCAGAGGGAAAAGUCUGAGAAAGGAAAGGAGGGUAGGAAGUAGGAAAACUCAAUUCAACAAGCUGAAUUUGGCAGGAGGAAGGUUACAUGAUGAGGAAUCAUCAGAAUCAUUAGAAACAAUCAUAGAAAGGCAGAGGUCAUAUUUUGAGUGACAUUGGAAGCAAGGUGAGUAUUCUCCCGCCCCUCCUUCCCCCCAGUAAAAUAUCUGUAAUUCCUUUUAUUUAUUUAUUUUUUUUAGGUAGGGGUUUUGGGGUAUGAUUAAUACAUACUCACUGUAAUGAAUUAAGGAAUAAUAAAAAUGAGAAAUUCUCAUAUCAUAUAAUCUGAUCUCUAUUCAUAGUUGGUAUACUUUGUUCUGGUUUAUGAACAUCCUCAUUUGUCAUCACUGUCCCAACUUGGACCCACCACCCUUGUUAUAAAAUCACAGGACCAACUCCUAUGCAAGGGCUGGGGAAAUAGAUUUUACCUUUUGAUGGGAAGUGUGAUAUCACACUGCAAGGAUAUAGACAUAGGGAGGAGAAUUUGUGGUCAUUUUUACAAACAUCUCCUUGGUCCCUGAAUAUAUAAAUUCUACAGUAUCUGAUAGCUACUAAGCACUUGAUAAAAAUCUGGGGUUUUGGAUAAAUUAGUGGCCACACUGAUACACAUAUAUAUGGACUAUACUUAUUUGGCAAAUAGGGCUGAAGUCUGCCCAGGAAAAAUUGAGUUCCACUUCAUUUUAUUUUUGGAUCCCUGAUACUAAUGUUAUACAGAGUGCAAAUAUUGCAGAGCUAUUAAUAAAAUGUUAACAUCAAUACCUCAAAUGCAUUUUUGGAAAAGGGAGUUAUUGAAGAAUACUGACUUCAAUGUAGAAUUGAAUUAAUUAAAGCUGAUGGCCAAAAGCCUGAUAUUAUUGGACUAGUGCCUGGUAUGGAUAAAAAGCUACAGAAAAGUUUAGUUUGCAUUUUAAAAAUAUCUUGUGCAUGAAGCCACUCCAUAUCUUUAUGCCUCAUUGUCAUUUCCAUGUGGCAAAUCUACCUACUAGAAUUAUUUCAUAUUUCUAAACUUGUUUUCUUUUUUGGUCAGGUUACAAUUCUAGCUGCCUAACAUGAUUCCAGGCAUACCGCGUUUUAUUGUACUUUGCUGGGCUGUGUUUUGCAGAUACUGUGGUUUUUUUGUUUUUUGUUUUUUUUACAAAUUGAAGGUUCAAGACUUCAAUGGGGGAAGUAACUGUAGAUGUGAAAAUUAGCAAGAGAAUUGGAAUUAGAAAUGGAGCCGGAAGAUGUGACUGAAUUGUUGCGAUGUCAUGAUAAAAUGUGAACGGAUGAGGAGUUGUUUCUUAAGAAUGAGCAAAGAAAGUAGUUUUUUGAGAUGGAAUCUACUCCUGGUGAAGAUGCUCUGAAGAUUGUUGAAAUGACAACAAAGGACUUAGAAUUUACAUGAACUUAGUUGAUAAAACAGCAACAGGGUUUGAGAGGAUGGACUCCAAUUUUGAAAGAAAUUUUACUGUGGGUGAAAUGCAAUCAAACAGCAUCACGUGCUACACAGAGAAAUCAUUCAUGAAUGGAGGAGUCUAUCGAUGUGGCAAACUUUAUUGUUGUCUUGUUUUAAAGAAAUUGCUACAGCACCCCACCUUCAGCAACCCCCUCCCGGAUCACUCAGCAGCCAUCCACACUGAGGCAAGACCCUCCACCAGCAAAAAGAUGAUGACUCUCCACAAGCUCAGAUGAUGGAGUUUACUGUCUAGAAGAAUCAGUCAACUUAUCUUGGCAAAUCCAGAUCUGCAGAAUCCAGGAUGUCCCUCGAUUUGAAGAAUCCAGAUCUGCAGAAUAUCCCUCGAUUUGGCUUCCUCAUGAGUAGAUUCAGCUCAUGCAUUUCUGUUGAGAAACUGCAGGUAAGGUUGGGUCCUCUCAGUACGCCACUUCAAUGACAUCGGUGCAAGGCCUGAUCACUUGGUUCAGAAGCAUUUCAUCAAGUUUCUUUACCACAAAGGUACCUGUCCCCUUUGUAAUGAAUAAGUAGUCUGUUGGAAGAUACACAGAGUCUGUGUGAAUAUCCUUUCUUCCAGUGGCCUUUCACACCGUGGUUUUAGCCUGAGUGCAUUGUUUCAGUGGUGGCUACAGAAUGGUGCUUUUCCAGUAGAUCAUUUUAUCUACAUUUAUUUGUGGGCAGGCUGUGACUUCAUAUAGCCAAGCAAAGAUAAUUCAGGAAUUAUCCGGACCUGCAAAACGUUACCUUAUUUGGAAAAGGGGUCUUUGCUGAUACAAUUAAGUUUAGGAUCUUGAGAUGAGGAGAUUAUUCAGGUGGGCCCUGAAUUCAAUGACAGGUGCCUUUGGCAGAGGGAGAUUCGAGACAGGAGAACACACAGACAAGGAGGGAAUGUGUCCACUGAGGCAGAGAUUGGACUGAAGCAGUCACUAGGCAAGAAAUGCCAAGGAAUGCUGACAGCCACCAGAGUGGAAAGAGGCAAAGAAUGGAUUCUCCCCUGAAGCUUCUGUAGAAAGUACUGCCUGCUGACACCUUGAUUUUGGACUUCUGGCCUCCAGAGCUAUGAAAGAAUAAAUUUCUUUGUUUUUUUUUCUUUUAAAGCCACUUGAUUUGUGGCAUUGUGUUAUGGCAGCUACAGGAAACUGACACAAAGAUAAAAAGGAUUGUCUUUGCCUCUCUGACAUGGUCUAUUUCAUUACUCUGUUCAUUGCCUCUAUACCAAGAACCUAACCUGAAAUGAUCUUGUUCAUUAUUUGGAUCUCUUGCUUAGAACAUGUGCUUCCGAAGGGCAGGGAUUUUGCUUGUUCCCCUUCCCUGCUAUCUCCUCAGCAGCACUUGGCAUAGUCUCUGGCAAAUAGUAGAUACUCAAGACAUAUUUUGUUGUCUCCCUAUUUCCUCAUCUACUUGUCUCUUACAUUUCCUAAAGCUGGGGGUGUCAAACUAGCUCAAGGGUCAAAUCCGACUGUCGCCUGUUUCUAGAGGAUUUGUGAACCAAGAAUGAAUGUUUAUAUUUUUGAAUGGUUGAGAAAAUCAAAAGAAGAAUACUUUGUGACAUGCAAAUUAUACACACUUCAGAUUUCCGUAUAUGAAUAUAAAGUUUUAUUGGAACGGUCACAUCCACUCAUUGACAUAUUGUUUACGGCUCCUUUCAAACUACACUGCAGAGUUGAGUAGUUGCAACAGAGUUCAUGUAGACUGCAAAGCCUAACAUAUUUACUAUCUGGCUCUUUACAGGAAAAGUAUGCCCAACCCUGUCCUAAAGGAUGAACAGAAAUCACUUGGAUACUGAUAGUCUCUCUGCCUCUUUACCCUCAAUUGUUCAUGUGCAUGUUUAACUCUCAUUGGCAUAUGGCAAGAAGGCAGGGUGGCUAGAAAAUGUGGGUGCCUUCCUUUUUUUGUCAUGGCAUUUUUGGUAACUCCCUCAGGUCAAACCAUGUGCCCUGCCUCUCAGACUGUUUUCUACCAAAGGGACCAGACCAGAAACUGGAUGAAGGACAAAAAGACUGAUAAAUGUGCUUUCUGCUGGUGUGCGGAUAGCAUUACUUUGCAAAAUUCAAACAUCUCGAUAAGCCAGGCUGUUUCUUGACUCAAACCAUGAUUGUCCAGAAUAUCAGGGGCCAUAAAUUUAGCAGAACUGACCAGACCAGCAAGGCCUGAGGUGUCUGUGGAAUGUUAAUCGUGUUACUAGGAGAAGGGAGUGGUCAAAUAAGGACUGGGAAUGUCGAGUUAAGCAAAGUGGAGCAGGAUUCUUGACAGUAGACUUCUGUGACUCUCCAAGGUGGGAUAUUGUACAAAGCAAUGACUAGACUUGGGCCACAUGCCAAUGACCACCUCAUCGGACAGGUGUUCUGGGGAACUUGUUUGGGUAACGAUGCCUUAGGCCUUGCUUUUUCUCUUUCCAGUUUAAACAAUCCCAGUACUUCAGUGACUACAGAAAAGUCUGUAUCUUGUGUCCUUUUACUGCUACUUCUAAGCUAGGAAGAAAAAAAAGGAUAGCACCUUGUAUCCAGAUACAGAAAAACUUUGUUAGAAGGGAUGUUGAAAUUAAUAAUACAAAAUUAGAUUAAAUGGUUUUUGAAAGCCUUUCAGUUAUUCAGCAGUGAUGUCUCAGUUAAAAUCAAAGUAAAUCUGAACCUUUCUCAAGUGUUAAUAUUUUUUACAUAUUUCAAUUUGCCCCAACCUUUAUAUAUUUCUUAAACACUGAGCAAGACCUCGGAAUGUAAAGCAUGCUUAGUUUCAAAUGACAUAUGCAAUACCCAUUUGUGUGACUAAGAUGUAGGAAUUAUAGCCUUUGCACUCUGGUAAAGUCAACAUGGAAAUAUGUGGAAUUUUCUCGUAGUUUUCAGGAAAUAAGGUGUCAUUGUUAAGAUAGUUUCCUGUCAUAAAAAAUUCUGUAAUUCGGUUUUAAAAUAGCAGCCUUAGAUGUUGUUUUUGACUCAGAAAUCUAUAGGAAAUCUAAAAUUGAAUGUUUGUGUGUAUGUGUAUGUGUAAAAGGAUUUUGCAUAUUUUCCACAGACAAGAAACGAGAUGUUUCUAUUCCUGGUCAUGCACAAUUGUAAUGACGUAAGUAUUUACCACAUGCACAUGUGAAGGCAAGCUGACAUUGAAAGUAGGGAAGCUCUGUGUUGAUCUUGGCAAUGGGCUACACGUACAGAGAGCCAUCCCUCUCAUGCCGCCAUUCCCACAGCUCCCAGUCCGGAGAGCUGGUCACCCCAGCUGGCUCACGGUAAUCCUCUGUGGCUGUCAAACGGUUUUUUACCUGAAGCUUCUUUGGCUUGGACCCUGUUACAAGCUUCCACUUAAAAACAGAGCUAAAACAUUUCUGGUUGGAUGGAACAAUGACUUAUUUUUAUGAGCAAAGAGUAGUUUGUCUUUAGUUCCUUCACAUAAAGUAUCAGGAAAAGAGUCUUUUCAUUGUGAUGAAAGCAGUUAAAUAUUGAAGACUAAAAACCUCAUUAGAGAGUUCUUGGAAAAAAACACAAAGAAAGCCAGCUGGGGAGGAAGUGCUGCUGACUGCAGGAAGAAGAGCCAGAGGUGGGUGCGUUAGGAAGGGGGGGGGCUGGUGCUGGUGCUCCCUCAGAGCAGCCGCUUCGUGAACCCACGUUCUCAGGAUCUCACAGCCCAGUCAGCUUCUCUUCUCUCUUCCUUUUAAAAAUUGUGGUACAAGGUCUAUGACAAAAUUCAUCAGUAUAACCAUUUUAUUUAUUUUUU